rnacentral:rRNA from 1 species
GACGAACGCUGGCGGCGUGCUUAACACAUGCAAGUCGAACGAUGAAACCUAGCUUGCUAGGUCGAUUAGUGGCGAACGGGUGAGUAACACGUGACUAACCUGCCCCUUUCUCUGGGAUAACGCUCCGAAAGGAGUGCUAAUACCGGAUACUCACACCGAGGCACAUGCCUUGGUGUGGAAAGUUUUUCGGAAAGGGAUGGAGUCGCGGCCUAUCAGCUUGUUGGUGAGGUAACGGCUCACCAAGGCGACGACGGGUAGGCGGCCUGAGAGGGCGACCGGCCACACUGGGACUGAGACACGGCCCAGACUCCUACGGGAGGCAGCAGGGGGGAAUAUUGCACAAUGGGCGCAAGCCUGAUGCAGCGACGCCGCGUGAGGGAUGAAGGUCUUCGGAUUGUAAACCUCUUUCAGUAGGGACGAAGCGAAAGUGACGGUACCUAAAGAAGAAGCACCGGCUAACUACGUGCCAGCCGCCGCAGUAA